GACAGUCUCAGUUCGGAUUGAAGGCUGAAAUUCGCCUUCAUGAAGCCGGAAUUGCUAGUAAUGGCAGGUCAGCAUACUGCCGUGAAUACGUUCCCGGGCCUUGUACACACCGCCCGUCACACCAUGAGAGUUGGGGAUACCCGAAGCCUGUGAGCUAACAGUAAUGAAGCAGCAGUCGAAGGUAGAAUCAAUGAUUGGGGUGAAGUCGUAACAAGGUACC
rnacentral:rRNA from 1 species